CGCCCAUUCGCUGCCGCACCGUAUCCCCCGCCGCUCUGCCGCCGCAGCGGGAAGACGCACCGGAGGUCCCGUCGCCGUACCAAGCGCGCCGCGCUGCACGGCAUCCGAACCACCGCCUUGCUUGUGUGGUGCUAGCCGUCGCUGCACUGCUCCUGCCACCGGCAUGGGGCCAGAGGGGGUAGGCGUCGUCUGUGGCCUCCGUGGGCUGCGCCGCCACCCGCGUCAUCGAGCUCCGCCACCGGACUGGUGCUGGCGAGGGGGCGGUGAGAUCGAGCGGUGGUGGUGGUGGAGGAGGAGGAGCUGGAUGAGCAUGCUUUAUGAUUUCAAGUUGAAUUGCCAGCCAUCAACUGUCGAUGUUCCGCAACACUUCUGCAGUUCUGCUUCUCCCGAGAGAGAGAAACCUUGUGCAUUCAGGAAGCCGGAUCCCCUUAAAUAUUGGCGCGGAAAGGACCUCCGAAUCAGGGCGCCUAUAUGUUUUGUCUCCAAGGACAAGAAUUCCUGGAACAUUUACCCAGGAGGUAGGAGUAGUUUUGACGAAGAAAAAAUAAAUGAAGUUUCUACUUUUGAACGGUUCGACUAAUUCCAUGGCUACAACCUAGAGGGGUAUGAUGAGAUUUUUUCCUUUUUUGCGCAUUAGGUACGAUGGAAUUGAUGCAUAGAUGAGGCAUAUAUACUUUUGUAUCAGUAUGUUUUCGGCCGAUUCCAGAUUCACAAACACA